ensembl:lncRNA
CUCCAGGUUCCCCGUGACCCUGAAAAGGAGUAAGCGGUAGAAGAUGGAUGGAUGGGAGAUAACCUAGGCUUCUGGUCAACAUGUUUGGAUUACAGCCUCAGUCAGAUCACAGUUAGCUACGUAAUUGUAUACAGACCUGGAAACAAGGUGUGGAAGAAGCUGCAAAAGAUGGAAGAGUGCUCAAACAGCAGCUUAAAAAGGGGAGGACCUGGCUACUACUGGGAGGACAAUAUCCAUACCAUGGGGCACCAAAUGGGGUCAGAGCUCCCCAUCUAUGAACUGACUUUAAAUCUGAUGACUGAAGGCCAGAUGAAUGGAGUAAAUGGAAUGCGUGUACUCAGUCUAUCCAGCCCGCAAAGGCACAGCCUCUCAGAGACACUUUAAUUUAAUUCCUCCAAAGAACAGACAUUAUCUCUGCCACUAAGAGCCAGGGACUUUAGAGACCAGGCUCUGCAGUGCUGUUUGUGUGUAUACAGCUUUUGUGUGUGUAGUAUAAAUGCAGCAUCCAAGUUCAAGUCCUAAGUGUUGACCUUGUUAAGGUAAGGAAGGGGG